UACGGAGGGUGCAAACGUUGCUCGGAAUCAUUGGGCGUAAAGCGCGCGUAGGCGGCCUUUUAAGUCGGAUGUGAAAGCCCCGGGCUCAACCUGGGAAUUGCAUUCGAGACUGAAUAGCUAGGGUACGGUAGAGGGAAGCGGAAUUUCCGGUGUAGCGGUGAAAUGCGUAGAUAUCGGAAGGAACAUCAGUGGCGAAAGCGACGUCCUGGACCAGUACCGACGUUCAGGCACGAAAGCGUGGGGAGCAAACAGG
rnacentral:rRNA from 1 species